GAUGAACGCUGGCGGCGUGCCUAAUACAUGCAAGUCGAGCGAACAGAUGAGGAGCUUGCUCCUCUGACGUUAGCGGCGGACGGGUGAGUAACACGUGGAUAACCUACCUAUAAGACUGGGAUAACUUCGGGAAACCGUAGCUAAUACCGGAUAAUAUAUUGAACCGCAUGGUUCAAUAGUGAAAGACGGUUUUGCUGUCACUUAUAGAUGGAUCCGCGCCGCAUUAGCUAGUUGGUAAGGUAACGGCUUACCAAGGCAACGAUGCGUAGCCGACCUGAGAGGGUGAUCGGCCACACUGGAACUGAGACACGGUCCAGACUCCUACGGGAGGCAGCAGUAGGGAAUCUUCCGCAAUGGGCAAAACCCUGACGGAGCAACGCCGCGUGAGUGAUGAAGGUCUUCGGAUCGUAAAACUCUGUUAUUAGGGAAGAACAAAUGUGUAAGUAACUAUGCACGUCUUGACGGUACCUAAUCAGAAAGCCACGGCUAACUACGUG
rnacentral:rRNA from 1 species